CCUACGGGUGGCAGCAGUCGAGAAUCAUUCACAAUGGGGGAAACCCUGAUGGUGCGACGCCGCGUGGGGGAAUGAAGGUCUUCGGAUUGUAAACCUCUGUCAUGUGGGAGCAAAUUAAAAAGAUAGUACCACAAGAGGAAUAGACGGCUAACUCUGUUCCAGCAGCCGCGGUAAUACAGAGGCCUCAAGCGUUGUUCGGAUUGACUGGGCGUAAAGUGUGCGUAGUCUGUUUCGUAAGUAGUGUGUGAAAGGCGCGGGCUCAACCCGAGGAGUGCAAAUGAUACUGGGAGACUAGAGUACAGGAGGGGUAAGCGGAAUUCUCGGUGUAGCAGUGAAAUGCGUAGAUAUCGCGAAGAACACUGGUGGCGAAGGCGGGUUACUGGACAUUAACUGACGCUGAGGCACGAAGGCGAGGGGAGCGAAAGGGAUUAGAUACCCCUGUAGUC
rnacentral:rRNA from 1 species